GUCUACAGCCAUGUUACUCUGAACAAGCCCAAUCCUGUCUAAUCUCGGAAGCUAAGCAGGGUCAGUCCUGGUUAGUACUUGGGUGGGAGAUCAUCUAGGAAGACCAGGUGCUGUAGGUG
rnacentral:rRNA from 1 species